AUUUCGGUUUCGAAUCUGUUUUUUGGAUGCGUAGUAGUUUCGUACAGUUUAGGUUUGACAUGCGAUCGCGCGUCGACAUCGGACGCUAUGGCACACUCGUGCCUUAUGUGCCACCGAAGCCCUGAAGUGCUUUGGCAUAUACCUUCACAUAUAUGCAAUGGCAAGCCCUUCCGUGUGUUCCAAAAACAAUGCCUACGCCUAGCCACAGUAGCUCCCUCAUACAGACUCCGCAAGCCAAGAGGCCGUGGAGGCAAAUGCAGGCAGCCAGCACACCUCGAACAGCCACCUUGACUGUGGGUGUGUCACCCUAAUCGCCAAGGAAACAUUUGAGGGAAAGCGACAGGCAAUGUGAACAGCCACUUCUCCAUGCAAACGAUACUCUUUCUCUCGGAUGACUCCUACGCCUCGCCACGCCAGCACACAUGUGCACAAAGAUGCUGCGGAGGCACGUGCAGGUCAGAGGCAAGAAGCAGUGGCACUGGUGUCGACAUUCACCCACUUUCUUUUUCUUACACUGAGGCAGCCAGCACACCUCGAACAGCCACCUUGGCUGCGGGUGUGUCAGUAGGUUCCUGUUGUACAUAUGCUCAUAAUAAACUUCAGUAAAUUUGAACUUGAUAAUAAACUUGAAGGCAAA
rnacentral:lncRNA from 1 species